rnacentral:rRNA from 1 species
UGGGGAUUAUUGGACAAUGGGCGAAAGCCUGAUCCAGCCAUGCCGCGUGUGUGAAGAAGGUCUUCGGAUUGUAAAGCACUUUAAGUUGGGUGGAAGGGCAGUAAGCGAAUACCUUGCUGUUUUGACGUUACCGACAGAAUAAGCACCGGCUAACUCUGUGCCAGCAGCCGCGGUAAUACAGAGGGUGCAAGCGGUAAUCGGAAUUACUGGGCGUAAAGCGCGCGUAGGUGGUUCGUUAAGUUGAAUGUGAAAGCCCCGGGCUCAACCUGGGAACUGCAUCCAAAACUGGCGAGCUAGAGUAGGGCAGAGGGUGGUGGAAUUUCCUGUGUAGCGGUGAAAUGCGUAGAUAUAGGAAGGAACACCAGUGGCGAAGGCGACCACCUGGGCUCAUACUGACACUGAGGUGCGAAAGCGUGGGGAGCAAACAGG